rnacentral:rRNA from 1 species
AACGAACGCUGGCGGCAGGCCUAACACAUGCAAGUCGAACGCCCUAGCAAUAGGGAGUGGCAGACGGGUGAGUAACGCGCGGGAACGUGCCGUUCGGUUCGGAAUAACUCAGGGAAACUUGAGCUAAUACCGGAUACGCCCUUCGGGGGAAAGAUUUAUUGCCGAAAGAUCGGCCCGCGUCCGAUUAGCUAGUUGGUGAGGUAAAGGCUCACCAAGGCGACGAUCGGUAGCUGGUCUGAGAGGAUGAUCAGCCACACUGGGACUGAGACACGGCCCAGACUCCUACGGGAGGCAGCAGUGGGGAAUAUUGGUCAAUGGGCGCAAGCCUGAUCCAGCCAUGCCGCGUGAGUGAUGAAGGCCCUAGGGUUGUAAAGCUCUUUCGCCAGGGACGAUAAUGACGGUACCUGGAUAAGAAGCCCCGGCUAACUUCGUGCCAGCCGCCGCCGUAA